UCGCAAGCCUCGAGCUAAGGUCUGCGCGGGCCGAGCUCGUCUGGGUUGCCCGCGGCUUGCUUGGGCGGCGCCGGCGGCGCGCGAGGACGGCGGGGAUGGCCGGUGCCGGCGCCGGAGAGGGAGAUAUCUUCCCAGGAAGCUUCCAAGAGGGUCUGUGGUCGCUUCCCCAGCAACUUCGGCAGAGAGGAGGAGAGGGUGGCCGAGAGGGGAGGAGAGGAAGAUGACCAUGAGUUUUCCGGCGGCCGGAGUUGCUCGCCGGAGGUCUGGGCACGAGCACAGGUAGGGCAGGGACCUACUGGGGCUAUCUAGGGCACGGUUGGGGAACUAGGUCGGCUAGAUCUAGGGUUCCUUGCAAAAGAACCCUAGAUGCACAUUGUAUGCAAUAUGCAAAUUGCACAAAAGUCCACCUGAACUACAAAUUUCAACCCUAGUCCUUCACAAUGGGUAACUCUCGCGCUUUUGCACCUCCACAAUCGAUCUCGCGCGAUUCGGUACAUAAAAUAUUACGACUUUUGCGAAUUUCCCGACUUUCCACUCUCGACCCCUUAGCGAACUUAUUGCAAUUCCCAAAGAUCCGUCCAUCGGAUUUCCGAUCAAAUCACCCCAACGCGUUUAGCACAUCGAGGCAUCGAAUCUAGCAUUUCGUUUCGUUAGAUUUGAUCUCCGAUUCACGACGAAAUCCAUUCUCUCUCCAAAAGGCCAAAAUGAUGCACAACUACAUAAGAAACAUGUAUUUUCAGAUUUUCUCGAAAACCGUGCAUCAUAUCUAAAAUCCGUCAGUGCCAUUGGUUCCAGAAUAGCUGAACCGUUCAAAACGAGCUAUUGGAUCGCUAUGAACGGAGUCCGAUACGCGCCGAAAGCCAGCUCUACUCCGUGGCUUCACCGAAAAAUCGGAGUUACUAUUCACUUAAGUGAAAACUAAUAAUCGCGUAACUUCUCCGUUUUAUCUCAGUUUCUCCUGAAACUUGACGAGUGCUUAUGUAAUUAAAUUACACACAUAAGCAUCGUCAACAGAGAGUUUAGUAGCACUGUAAAAAUUUCAGUCCUUAUAAGAUUUUGCUGAGGAGACGAGUUUAUCGUAAAAAUCUAAUUCGACGCUUCCGUUGCGAAAUCCCAAUAAUCGGUACCGGACCACAGCAGUCAAUAUCGAAGCGGGUUACAAAUUCUCAAGAUCCGGUACCAGGACGAGUACCGGAUUCCCAACAAUUUAGACGCACAAUAACAUUGCAAUUCGCUCAU
rnacentral:lncRNA from 1 species